CCUUAGCUCUCCAUUUGCUAGGGAACUUCUGGAGAUAACUUGGUUCUUGUGGCUGUUUCGACUCCCCAUCCCAUUUUGGAUCCAAUUUCCACUCUUUCGGAACCUUAUCAACUGCAAGGGUAAAAACUUCAAGAUCGCCUUUGGUAUUGAUAUGGAACCGUGUAAAUGACUUGUAAUUUGCAAUGCGGAGUGAUGAAAAUGCUUCAUCGAAAUGUAUGUGAAGCCAAUUGAUGGAAAUGUAGAGGUAGCUUCCAAGUAUCAAAGAAACCACUGGAGUUGAUAAGACCCAAAAAUAUAGGAAAACUGAUGCAUAAUAUAUUACAGCACCCCCUCGGGAGAGAGAAUCAUUCCCAUUUUUGCAAAUAUUACUCCUGGUAACGGCCAUUACCUCAGGAACGUCAAAACCGGACAUGAGAUACUUGAUACAUGCUGGAUAAAGG
rnacentral:misc_RNA from 1 species